rnacentral:rRNA from 1 species
AGCAUAAUCAUUAGUCUUUUAAUUGAAGGCUGGAAUGAAUGGUUGGACGAGAUAUAAGCUGUUUCAUUUAAAAUUUAUAUAGAAUUUUAUUUUUUAGUUAAAAAGCUAAAAUAUGAUCAAAAGACGAGAAGACCCUAUAAAUCUUAAUUAUUUAAUAAUUUUUAAUUUAUUUUGGUUUUUUUUGUUAUAAAUUUAUUAAAUAAUUUUAUUGGGGUGAUAUUAAAAUUUAAAUAACUUUUAAUAAUUUUUGUCAUUUAUUUAUGAUUAAGUGAUCCAUUAUUAGUGAUUAAAAAAUUAAGUUACUUUAGGGAUAACAGCGUAAUUUUUUUGGAGAGUUCUUAUCGAUAAAAAAGUUUGCGACCUCGAUGUUGGAUUAAGAUUCAUAUUUAAAUGCAGAAGUUUAAAUAUUAAGUCUGUUCGACUUUUUAUUCUUACAUGAUCUGAGUUCAAACCGGUGUAAGCCAGGUUGGUUUCUAUCUUUGAUUUAAUAAAAUAUUUUAGUACGAAAGGAAUUAAUAUUUAUUUUUAAGAAAUUAUUUUAUGAAUGAAUUUAAUUACUAU